GAAUGAGUGUACCAGAAGGUUAUGAAAUCAGAGUUCAGUAUCAGGGACGAGAUGAGUCACUGGACUUGGUGUACAAGGUCAGAAAGGGUUGGAUUUGAUGGUGGGUCACAGUCCAGGCCCUCAAGCCUGGAGUGGAGCUGAAUAUCAAGUUAGGAACUCCCUGAGUGUCAACCAAUCAGGGUAUCAGUCAUCAAGUCCUUGUCUGGACUUCUGAGGAAGGACCCUGUGUAGGAUGUCCUAUCUAUGAAAGCUAAGCCUCCCUUUUCACUCUUGGGGUCCAGUAGCCAAAGUCCAUGCUGUUACACAGGAGAUUUCAUUUGCCUCAACCACCUUAUGAGGUCCUGAGAAUGUCCUAGAAGGAAGCAGAUCUUGCUGUUACAGUGAGCAGACCCAGCAAUCAAUCUCAGUUGCAUUGUGGCGUCCUGUCUAUUUUGCCAUAUGUGAUGCCGGCAGUGAGAUUUUCAAAAGCGAAGGUGAUGAAUGUGUUAGACUUUCAAACCUGCAGAAGUUACUCGAGUGGUUUCCAUCAGGUAAUGGACAUUGGAGAGAGACCUAGAAAAGAUUGCCCACACUGAGCUACUUGAGGAGAACCAGCAUGGUUUCUGAUGCAUGGUGUUGAAUAA